rnacentral:rRNA from 1 species
UGAAACCAACAUUCUACUCAAAGCACACCCAAUCUCAUCUUAUUUCAGAAGUGAAGCAGGAUUGGGGCUGUUUAGAACUUGGAUGGGUUCCCACCAGGGAUUUACAGGUAGGGCUUGGA